rnacentral:lncRNA from 1 species
AUAACUUUGAUAGAACAACUGCUUAGUCUCAUCAUCCCAACGAGCCCAUAUAUCCCUCAAUUCCUGGAACUCGUUUUGGGUCACAUUGAUGCGAGUGAAGUCCAACAACCCCGAUGUAUACCCUCUAGCUAGGCUAUCCCCUUUCUCAAGUUGCAUCUUCUCUGGCCACAUACGAAUAGCACAUUAUCCUCUACUUUAUUAAGGAAUUCGCUGUCCAUAACAAGCUUUCUAAUUUAGCAACCGAACAGAAAUCAACACCUCUUUGAUAUGAAAUGACAUGCAAACAUAACCACAACAAAACACAACAAGUUAGUAUCAAAAAAUAAAAAUCAAAGCAAAUAGAAAAUAAUCAAACACCUAACUGGGUAAUCGCUAGGGUUAAACAUAGCUCCAUCUAGGGCAGGUUCCUAAAGCUCACUAUAUGUCGCUCGGUUCUAAGAAGAGGGUACCUGAACCAACAAAUUCCUCAACCCUCACCCAUUAUAGGCUCAUAUGGAUCGAGUUCAGUUCAAGGGAAUACAUUUCCCUAUGGCCAUGCGGAAGUGAAAACCUUACGAAGACAUAGGUACGGAUGUAUCCCGGAAGCAGUCCACUAGCCUGUGCAGAGGUGAAAACCUCACGAAGGCAUAGUUUCUCACUCCCACUUAAAAGUGUGACCACAACGGUCAUGCAAUGCAAUGCGAAGGGGCAAUAAAAACUCAAAACACAAAGACAUAAAUAAGAUGAUGAAAACCAUAACACUUAUUAAAAAGAACAUAUGUUAAAACCAAUGUUUUUAAUUUUUAACAAAAGGACAGAAAAUAAUUAAUUUUACGGCUUGACUCUCUUAUUGGUCCCCAAUGGAGUCGCCAAGCUGUCAAAACCUUCUUUAAUUUUGAAAAAAUGGGAAUUGACUUUUUAAAACGAAGUAUGGAGUCGCCACCAAUCCUUUUUGUUUAGGUGUAAUUGGAUCACCUUGAGAUUGAUCAUUUUAAUCAAACAUUUGAUUUAUUAAAACAAUAAUUUUAGGUCUACGAAAAUUGAGAAAAAAGGGUUCGGGAGUCGGUUACCCACGAGGAAGGAUUAGCACCCUUAUAACGCCUAAAAUUGGUACCAAUUGAUUAUUUAAUGUCCUAUCGUUGAAAAUUUGAAGAAAAAAAAGUUAAAAUAGGAUUCCUUUAAAAAUGUGUGAACAACUCGAAUUAGAUUUUAAGAUUCACUCGUUCCAAAGAAAUAAAAUACCACAUCCAGCACGUUAGGACACAAUACUUUAAGCCUCCAAAAACUGAGAUCACCUAAUGAUUUCCAAAACACGCAACGAAAUCUUAAAAAGGGUAUUUUGUUAUUUGACCAAACGAAAAAUCGAAACCCAACACGUUGGGGCACGAUUUCUCGAAUUUCCGAACACGAAACAUUGCCUUGUAUUGAGGAGUUUCUAAAUAAGCAAUUACAAAAUCGACUCAAAAUAUAUUUGUUUGGUUUAUUUUAGGGUAAAAGCAAUCAAUGUUGGGCAAAAAUUCAGGAUUCAAAAUCAUGAUGCAACAACAAUAAAAAAAUAAAUAAAAUGACUAUAAGCAUGAAACAAUAACACGUGCAUUAUGAAACCCAAAACAACACAUAAUAUACAAAAUAAUCUGAAAACUAAGAGUCAAUGUGAUAUAAACAAUUCAAAGACUAUCGAAUAUAUGAAAAUUUAUAAACGGACGACACAUGCUAAGGUUUGAAAUAGUUUACAUAUUAAGGAAUAAGAACAUAAUAUAUAAAUGACAACUAAAAUAUUAUGAAUGAAAAAGUUGGAAGUAAAUAAUGUGCAAAAUAUUUCAAAAAAGAACAAAACAUGGCUAUUUAAAGUGGAUAAUAUACAUGUAAAAUAAAUAAUAAUAAUAAUAAUAAAUAAUAAUAUAUAAUUUGGCCAUAGUACACAAAAGAAUUUAUAAUAAAAGAGAAAAUAAUUAUAUUUUGAAAGAACAAACUAUAUACAUAAUAGAUUUGAAAAGAAAAUAUAUAUUAAAUAGAUUUAAAAGAAAUUAUAUAAAUAAAAUAAAAUAGAAUUAAUAAUGUAUAUAAAAUAAAACUAAUUUCAUCAUAUAUAUAAUAAUGUAUAAAAAUAUUUUAAUUAAAUAUUAUACAAGAAUUUAGAAUAAUACUAUAUAAAAUAAAACUUUAAAAUAACACUUUACAAUUCAAACAAAUAUAAAAAAAAAGUAAAAUUAUUAAAGUAACCUAAUAUGUAUGUUUAAAUAAAUUUUUAAAAAGUUGAAUGCUAAAUAAAUUAAAGAAAUAAUGAAUUAUACAUACUGAAAUGGAAAUAAACUCAAUUGAAAUAAAUUUAAACUAAAAGGGACAAUUAAUAAAUAAAAUAAGCUGUUGAAACCAAAAUCAGGACCCAAAUGUAACGCGCGCAAACUCGCAAGGACGGAAAAAACAAAUAAACCAUGCCCCAGAACAAUUCAUUUCCGCGCGGACUGAAAUGAGUAGACGCACAAAUUCUUGGGACAAUUUAAAAAAAAAGGAAAAUAUAAACAGGUUUUAAUUACAAGUCAGUGCAAAAAGGGAGGGACCAAACGCGCAACUUAACCAUUUAAAGAGAAUAUGCGCGUAAACCAAGUCAAAACGCGUUCUGUUUCUUCCCCCCAAAAAAGAAAUGCUAUUUUAUUUUAUUACUUAAAUAAAAAAACUGUUUUAAAAUCAUUUGAUUUUUGCGUUUAGAAAAAAAACCUAAUGCUCCCAAAUCUCUUUACCUUUUCUCUCCAGCCGAAAAGCUAUGUUCAAGCUUUCAACCGCCCGCUUGUACCGGCGAAGUAAGGCCCUCCAAUGGUGCGAGCACGACGCGCGAUAAGUUUAUUCUCCUCUCUCUGAUCCUUCGCAUGUGUUGUGGAUCCAAAUGAAAAAAAGAAAAAAGAGGAAAAAUAGAAUAAAAUUGCAGUAAAUAAUCACCUUAGAAGUAUUCUUGGUUGCUUUUCUACUAAUUUUCAUAUGUAUUUUGUAUUAUCACUCGUCCGUCAAAAAAAACAAAUGAAAAUUCGUGGCCUUUUAUAGCCAUUUUUACAUCUGUUUCUUCUCCACUAGUUGCAGGUAUGGCGAACGUGGUUCGAAGUGCAAGGAUGUGGGGCGGGCAAUACGCGAGUCAAGGGGUCGUGUGUGGGGCGUGCGUUGGUGGCUGCUGGUGGCUGCGGCGCAAGGCAAAUAGAACCCUAGGGCUUGCUAUUUCUGAAAACGAUUUGGGCCAUUGGGCUUGUGUAAUCAAGUAUUGGGCCAUUGCAAAGUUUUGGGCCUAGUGUAACUAUAUUUGGGAUUGUUUUUUUUGUUUUAUUUUUUCUGUAUAUGUAUGGGCUCGGGCUAAAAAUUGAGUCUACAACAGUGAUAUAAAAGUUUCUCAAAGUUUGUUUUACAUUUAAGGGCACACAUGACAUUUUAUAAAAAUUGUUCUAACACUUUAAUCAAACUAAGAAAACUACAUAAAUUUAAGAUGUCUCCCAAACAUUAAGCUAAUUAUUCCUUAUGUUUUAAGAAGCCAUUUUAAUACUCAUAUAAUAAAUAAGGUUUUCUUAUAUUUUUACACGCGAUAUUAAGAUUUUAUAUAAGAGAAAGAGAACAAACAUUUAGUUAACGAUAACUAAGUAAGAUAAAUUGAAAAAUCGAAAAACGACCUAAAUUAAAGUGUUUGAACUAUUUAUGAAAUACAAAUUUAAAGUGGUUACUUGAAAUCGAACUAAAUUUUAUUUUUAUUUAAUAUAUAAAUUAUUUUAAUUUUUUAUGGUAUAAAAUAAAUAUUUUAUAUUUAAAAUAGUAAAAUAUUUAAACGAAAAAUUAUUUUGUUUUAUAAAUACUAAUGAAAAAAAUUUAGAAAUUUUGUCAAAUCAUAUUCAAAAAUUAUAAAACAAAGUUUAUUUUGUUAAAAUAAAUUUAAAAAUAGAAAAUCAAACAUUAAUAUAAAAAUCGAGAACCGAACCGCACAUCGAAUUAUGAAAAAUUAAAAAAUCUAAAAAAAUCCCAUCAAACAUAUCACCCUAGACUGAAUUAUAAUUUUCUUAAUUUUACUAGAAAAAGAAAAGGCAAAUAAGAGAGCAGAAUGGUCUAAUCUAAUUCUAAAAAAAAAAAAAAAAUCAGAUUGCAUGCAAAUUGUCCGUGAAAAAAUAUGUGACAAAUCAUACUACACCCACCAGCACAACCCAAUUCCUGCCGUGGUCCGGUAUGUAGAGCCCAUCCCCAAGCACCAGCUGCAUUGGAGAAUUGGGAUGUGUUUAUCACCCCCAACAAAAUGGUACAUGAAAUGAUGAUCUACCUUUCUUUGGGCUUUUAUGAAUCCAGACCUUAAGGGCCAUUGGAUUACACUACAGAAAAAAAAGGGGUCUUAUACAAGUCUACUGCUUCAUGCACAAUUGCAGUCCAUUAUUCAUAGUUUUGAAUCUGUUGCUGGUAGCAGAAACAAGGCAAAUUGUGGGAAACUAACAGGCCCUAAUUUUUUUUAAUCCAAAUAUGUAUAUAUUACAAAGCCUAGAUGAACAACAAUGGCAACAUCAACAUGGGCUCGUCAUGAAACAAGCCUGAAGAAAUAAACAAAAGCAUAGUAGUUUUUAUACCCCACUGGUGAAGAAUGACAAACACAGUUUCCAAAUUCAAAUGCAUCAUCUAAACAAAUAUGCCCCUUUCUUAGUCUUAUCUGCAUGGAUUUGCUUGCUGGAAAUGAAAAAGCAAAAAUGAAAGAAAAAGAAAAAAGGUGAAAACAACCUUCAAGGUUUAAGAGAUGAUAUGUAAUUUUUCACUUUUUUCAACGCAUUGCAGCAAAAGGGUUCCUUUUCCAUUGCAGAGGCUGAUAUGUUAUCUCUGUUUCCUCUAUUUUAGUCCAUGGUAAUUUGUGUUUAGCCACCUUUCGCUUCCUAGCUGCUACUCCCAGAUAGUCUCCAGCGUUCUGAAUUUGAAUGAAUUUACAGUAAAACAGUCAAAUUCUUGUUAAUGUUAAAUGCAGGCUAAAUUUGGAUGCUAAAGAUCAGAUUUUGGUACCUUGAGGCAGAGUCCUUCUUGGACAUCACAAAUGGGGUAAUCACUAGGGCAGCAGUAUUCAGUUCCGGUACAGCAAACAGCAUUUUCAUAUUCACAGCAGCCGUAUAUUAGGCAAUAAUCAUAGAAUUCAAAAAGGCAACAGCAUGUCUCAUCACUUGAACAAUAGGAAAAGUCUCCACAAUCACUUGGUGAAGGAGAUGGAGGUGGUGGUGGUGGUGGAGUUGAAGGAGGUGGCGGUGGAGGAACACUUGGCGAUGGAUAAGGGGAUGGUGAAGAGGAUUCUUUAGUUGGAUAAGAAGCCAUGGCAUUGACAGCACAAACACCAUAUGGUAAAUCAGUGUCUCUUUUUAGAUAGAAAUAUCCAUCUAUCCCCCAACUUGUUCCCCAUGAAUUCUUCACUAUCCAAUACUCUUCACUGCCUUCUGAACCAUAACCAACUAUUAAAACAGCAUGAUCAAUGUCAUCUGGAUCAUCCGAGCAGCUCCCAUCAUAA